rnacentral:rRNA from 1 species
UACGAAGGGGGCAAGCGUUGUUCGGAUUUACUGGGCGUAAAGCGUACGUAGGCGGAUGAUUAAGUCAGGGGUGAAAUCCCGGGGCUCAACCUCGGAACUGCCUUUGAUACUGGUCGUCUUGAGUCCGGGAGAGGUGAGUGGAACUCCUAGUGUAGAGGUGAAAUUCGUAGAUAUUAGGAAGAACACCAGUGGCGAAGGCGGCUCACUGGCCCGGAACUGACGCUGAGGUACGAAAGCGUGGGGAGCAAAC